rnacentral:rRNA from 1 species
UACGAAGGGGGCUAGCGUUGCUCGGAAUUACUGGGCGUAAAGGGCGCGUAGGCGGACAGUUUAGUCAGAGGUGAAAGCCCAGGGCUCAACCUUGGAAAUGCCUUUGAUACUGGCUGUCUUGAGUUCGGGAGAGGUGAGUGGAAUGCCGAGUGUAGAGGUGAAGUUCGUAGAUAUUCGGCGGAACACCAGUGGCGAAGGCGACUCACUGGCCCGAUACUGACGCUGAGGCGCGAAAGCGUGGGGAGCAAACAGG